UCUGGUUUGCCUUGGCUCAUUUCACUGGCAGCAGAGAAAUAACCCAUUCUAAUCUUCUGAAUGAUUCUUAGAGUCUCAUCUUUGGAGAAAGGAAUGCUAACCUCUAUAGGCCACUGAGGAUGAACCUCUCUCCCUCAAGGUCUGUUUUGUGUCCCACUUCCUGUUCUGGUGAAAGGGAUCAGUUUCGUCACACUUUAAGAUGGAUAGCCCUGGGCCUGGGUAAAGACGUGACAUUCUAAUCUGCACCAAAGAUGAAGCAUUACAAAUUGCUGUUAACGUCCCUUAAGAGUCAGUCCUGGAGUCUUUCGUCUUUCGGCCACUGGCCCUAAGCCAUUCAGUUUGCUGGGGGUUCUGAGCCUACUCAUUCCGUCUCUAACACUUCUCCAUCUCCUUCACUUCAGUCGUGGAACCGUUUCCCAAGUUCCACUGUUGAACAUGUCUCUGUCGCUGGAUUUUUAAGGUCAUAACAACAUAAAAGGGAUCGCUCCCUCUAGGCACUUCAGAAGUGAAUGCAAGACAUUUCAGAGAUUAUUGCUUUCUAUAAAUCUGAUGCUUAAGACUGAGGGGAAAUCAAUGAGUUAGGACCAGGACAAACAGAUUUGCCAACAUAAUGAAGCUCUGAUAUCUGCAUCGUGCGGUGCUUGAAUCUUGUUUGAAUCGUCCUGGGGCCUCACCCAAUGUGGAAGUGCCUAUUGAUGUUGUCUCUGUUAGCCGAAUACUUGUUUAUGCUGUCCAGCUGAGAAGACUCUGGUUUUUGCUAUGUUUAGAGCAUGACCAACAGCAACGGUUCUGAGAGCAGAAGGAAUGGAAAGGGGAAGAAGAGGUGGAGGAAGAGGAG